AGAGAAAUACCGACAAGGCGGAAGGCAAACAUACCUCGACAUGGCGAACCCUAGGGAAUGGCUCCUUGUCAAUGAGACUGCGAAGGCGAUGGUCGAUAGAAUGGAAGAAGAGCGCCCUUCCCUUUUCUUCCCUCCCCUCAACCGUUUUUCCAUUCGAGCUGGCGAUGUCGUCGAAAUCACUGGCCCCUCUCCCUCGGCUAAAAGCGAGAUCCUCUUGCAGGCAGCCAUUCACUGCAUUCUGCCCUGGGAGUGGAACGGAAUCUGUUUCCGUGGGCUGGAGAUGGUGGUUGCGUACAUUGAUUUGGAUUGUCGUUUCGACGUGCUUCGGCUUGCUCAGGUGCUGAAGCUUCGUAUCAUGAGUGCGUAUGGUUCAACUCAUGGUACCUGUUGGGACUCAGACAAAGUCUCUCCCAGGAAUAGCUUCAUGGAUUCACAAGCUGAUCACCUGGAUCAUGAAUUGUUUUUAUCCUGUAUGAAACGUUUCUUGUAUAUCCGAUGUUACAAUAGCUCUGAAUUUUUGGCUGCAUUGAAGACAGUGCAUCAUGGCUCUACAAGUUCAAGGGAAGGACUUGGUGUUAGUUUGUACGUCCUUAUUAUUGAUAGCAUUGGUGCUUUUCAUUGGAAUCAUCGAGCUUGCCAACCACUGACAAAAGAGGGCAAUACAUGGGAAAAAUUAUCUCUUGAAAAAUUAACUGAAAAUGUUGUUCAAGAAAUAAAAAAUAUCCAAGAUGUGCAACCUUUGAUAGUUUUAGCAUCAAAAGCUACAAUUUUUGGCAGUGCAACCACAACAAUUCAUGCACAUAGGGGACAUUCAGAGGGCUUGAAAAAUAAGAACAAGGAUGUUGGAAAGAAUUUUUCAUAUCGUGAGUACAUGUCUCCACUAUGGCAGUCGCUCGUAACUAAGAAGGCGUUCGUGGGAAUUUCAGAUGUAGUUUCCUCUGAUGGAAGAAAUGGAGAGUUUCCUACCUACGUAUGUGAAUGGAUAAAGCCACAUGAGGAUCACCUGUACAAAUUUGUUGUGAGAAAUAAUGGCAUCUGUAUGGUUUCAUAAAUUCAGAAUGGAUAAGAAAUCUUGCCGUUGGCCUCCCCAUCGCGAGUUCAUCUCAGUGCCCUCCUCCUUAAAGCCCAUGGGAGCAUAUCUGAACAAUGAUCUCUCCUGGGAUGCAUGCAACUCUCUACACAAGGAACUUUUAUUUGGUCCGGUGACCGGACGCAGAGCUACGUUCGGCAAGCACUGAGAAUGAGUCACGUAGCAGGCACAAAACCGCGGACUCGACCCGGCAAAUAGUGGGUAUGUCGCACGUGCUUUUUUUAAAUCCAUGACAACCCGGUAUUGCUAGGUAUUGCUUUGUAUUGUUAGGUAUUUGUCAAUUUUGUUCGGCAAUAACGAGAAAUACUAUUAUAUGAAGACAAAUACCGAGAGAAACUCGGUAUUACUUGGUUACCGAGAAAAACUUGGUAUUACUAUAUAUUGCUCGGUAUUGGUCUUCACAGAGCGGUAUUUCUCGUUAUUGCCAAGCAAUAUCUAGCAAUACCGAGCAAAUACCGAGUAAUACCUAGCAAUACACGAACAUAGCAUUCCCGGGUUCCGUUCCGGGUCAAGUCAUUAGGCCGCGCGGUAAAGAGUAAGAGCACGUGGCGCGAUCUCAGUGGUGACCAUACGUAGAGUUACGUCCGGUCACCGGACCUAAUAAUUGUUCCUACACAAGGGCAAAUUAUUGCGUCCGGUCACCUAACAUGCGGACAUCCAAUCCGGACACGCCACCUCACCUGGAUGCACUGGGCUCCGGUAUUUUUGAGUGACGUGGUGCGUUUUUAUUGGUGUCUGGACGAAUCCGGACACCGGACACAAUAAUUUGCCCUACACAAGACCAAAGUUCUGCAUCGGCCCCCUUUUGUGUUGAUGUUAUUAUUUUUACAAAUUCAAGCCCAACUUUUUUUUACAUGGCAAACUCAAUCUGAAGGGAUUAAAAAAAAAAGGGAAUUAAAUUAACUCAGGAUAUCCUAAGAGAAGUUUGAUGAAUUGAAUUUAUUUUGAGAAAUGUAUGAUAUAUAUAACAAUAACAAUAUCAAGCUUUAUCUUACUAUGAAGGGUUGGUUAUAUGAAAAUUUUUUUUUU